AUUUCUCAACCCCUCUUGAUUUGAUUCGAGGGGGAGCUUGGAUGGUGGGGGUUUUGCCGUAGACUUGGGCCAAGUUCUUCUUGGUCUAGGAUUUGGGGCUCUCCUGAAAUGCAUUGGCUUGCGGUCGACUUUCGACUUUGCACGACAAGGCUUUCGGCGUGAUAAUGAUCGUCGUGUGCUGAAGUGCAUGAAUGAAGGUUCCGUGCCUCUAAUAUGUCGAUCCCCCUUUACAUUAGUAUAGGGGGGUCUUCCUCUCUGAC
rnacentral:misc_RNA from 2 species